CCUACGGGGGGCAGCAGUGAGGAAUAUUGGUCAAUGGCCGUAAGGCUGAACCAGCCAAGUCGCGUGAAGGAAGAAGGAGCUAUGGGGUGUAAACUUCUUUUAUAGGGGAAUAAAGGUAGCCACGUGGGGAGAUUUGCAUGUACCCUAUGAAUAAGCAUCGGCUAACUCCGUGCCAACAGCCGCGGUAAUACGGAGGAUGCGAGCGUUAUCCGGAUUUAUUGAGUUUAAAGGGUGCGUAGGUUGUUUUUUAAGUCAGCGGGGAAAGUUUGUGGCUCAACCAUAAAAUUUCCGUUGAAACUGGCAGCCUUGCGUGUGUUUGAGGUAGGCGGCAUGCGUGGUGUAGCGG
rnacentral:rRNA from 1 species